rnacentral:misc_RNA from 1 species
GUAUAAAGUUUGUAGGCACAAAGGCCUUUCAUUACAUUCUAUAACAUAAUGGUGUAUAUGAAGAAAACAUAGGCCUGGAAAUGUAAGGAAAGACAAAAAGUCAAUCCUCAAACCUGAAUGCCAGGCAUUCAGAAAGAUAUCCAGAUCUACAAAAGGUGCACAGGUGGAGAUAUAAAGAUGACAAGUGUGCACAUGCUCCCGAGAGAGCCAGCAGCAACCCAUCAGGUUUAUUUCAAUAAUGAUCCUUCCGCAGGUUCACCUACGGAAA